CCCUUAGACGUUCUGGGCCGCACGCGCGCUACACUGACGAAGGCAACGAGCUUUCCUUUACCGAAAGGUACGGGUAAUCUUUUGAAACUUCGUCGUGCUGGGGAUAGAUCCUUGCAAUUUUUGAUCUUAAACGAGGAAUACCUAGUAAGCGCAAGUCAUCAACUUGCGUUGAUUACGUCCCUGCCCUUUGUACACACCGCCCGUCGCUACUACCGAUUGAAUGGUUUAGUGAGGCCUUCGGAUCCGCGACUCGUUUGUGGAGAAGUUGGACAAACUCAGUCAUUUAGAGGAAGUAAAAGUCGUAACA
rnacentral:rRNA from 1 species